CCGAACCGACUAAUGUUGAAAAAUUAGCGGAUGACCUGUGGCUGGGGGUGAAAGGCCAAUCAAACCGGGAGAUAGCUGGUUCUCCCCGAAAGCUAUUUAGGUAGCGCCUCGUGAAUUCAUCUCCGGGGGUAGAGCACUGUUUCGGCUAGGGGGCCAUCCCGGCUUACCAACCCGAUGCAAACUGCGAAUACCGGAGAAUGUUAUCACGGGAGACACACGGCGGGUGCUAACGUCCGUCGUGAAGAGGGAAACAACCCAGACCGCCAGCUAAGGUCCCAAAGUCAUGGUUAAGUGGGAAACGAUGUGGGAAGGCCCAGACAGCCAGGAUGUUGGCUUAGAAGCAGCCAUCAUUUAAAGAAAGCGUAAUAGCUCACUGGUCGAGUCGGCCUGCGCGGAAGAUGUAACGGGGCUAAACCAU
rnacentral:rRNA from 1 species